UGUCUGUCUGUCUGUCUCUCUCUCUCUCUCUCUCUCUCUCUCUCUCCCUUGACCGGCACAAACUGGAUUUGAGAAUUUUCUGACGAACACUGAGAAACGUCACUCAUAGGACUCUUACAACACACAAUCAUGCCACACCGAAACAUUGAGAAUAUUUGAGUAAGAUAAUUUUUCUUGCAGUUGCAUCAAUUAGAAGGAUACAACAAUCGCUAAAUCUUUGAGGAGAUAUAUUUCUGUUAUUGAUUUUCUUCACGGUACAUUUGCCUUUUUUCGCUUGUCAAGGCGUAGAAAGCUCCAGUUAUACAGUCCUCUUCCAUGAUAUACAUUUCUCGCAUUUAUUUCGUGAACGUUACGGAAUAUUCAUUAAAAUUCCACAUUGUUUUCUCGUCAGAUCUUGUAACCGUUAACAUGCUAGUAGGCUUCCAUAAUAAGACAUUUGUGUUCUUGGGCCACAGCCGGAACUGCAUGUGUUAAGACCACUCUAAAGAGUCCAAUUGCUGCUGCUGUAGCUCCUGCUAACUGAAGCCACAUCUGUACCUUGGACUAUUGGAUUAGAUUAUAUUAGAUGUCCAUUUAAGCUUUCUUAAACUAUAUUAGUAGUGAAACUUUUUCUGGUUGUUGGCACGUUUUUGAACUCUGGACCCCUUCAGGAGACAAAGCAACUGGCUUUAAAUUUCUGAUAAGACUACUCGUAUGUCUAAUACUGAUUCCAUGAAAUCUGUUAGUUUGAAAAAGAGAUAUAAAUUAUGACUAAUUACAUUAAAAAAAUAUGUUAUGAAGUAUUAAUGGUUCAAAUGGCUCUGAGCACUAUGGGACUCAACUGCUGAGGUCAUUAGUCCCCUAGAACUUAGAACUACUUAAACCUAACUAACUUAAGGACAUCACAAACAUCCAUGCCCGAGGCAGGAUUCGAACGUGCGACCGUAGCGGCCUUGCGGUUCCAGACUGCAGCGCCUGUAACCGCACGGCCACUUCGGCCGGCUACGAAGUAUUAAUUUGUUUCUCCAAUUGUAUUAGCCAUUGAGCCAUGCUGGGUGAAGGAAGUGAUGGAUUCAACGCUACUCUUGUGUCUAAUACUGAUUCCAGGAAAUCUGUUGGUUUGUAGAAGAGAUAUAACUUAUGACUAAUUUCAUUAAGAAAUAAAUAUAUUCCGAGGUCUUAGUUUGUUUCUUCAAUUGUAUUAGUCCUUGGGACAUGCUGGCCGAAGGAAGUGAUCGAUUCAGUAAAAAGUAAAUAUAUUGGAAAGUAUUAUUUUGUUCCUCCAACUGUAUUAGCCCUUGGACCAUGCAGAUCGAAAGAGGUGAUCGAUUCAACGUCCUCCAUAUUGUUUGAGGUUUUAAGUGAAUGUAUAUCGCGAGGUAGUGCGUAUUGCAUGGACGAGCGAAACAUUUACUCUUUGUUGUCGCAGUGCUCCAUGGCGAGCGAAGGAAAGUAAGAAAAUACAUAGACACUGCGAAGCAUUUCGUGAACAAAAACAAAUUAACGAUCACUUAGUUAUAUGUAUUUCUUGUAUUGAUUGUGAUUUAUUGUGAUAAAUGCGUAUUUUAUGUUAUGUACCUGCACUAAUGUUGUGCUUCGUAUGAUUUCAUGUACGACUGAUGGAAUAAUUCUAUGUGAGCUACAUCCGACAUCAGGCAGCCACGACAAGACCCAUCCAUGACAUAUGAACUUCAUAUGUCUCUAAUCUGCAGUAAAGGAAGUGAGUCCAAGCAGCACUGGACAUUGAACUUCACGCACUUAUCUGAGAAUUAAGCGUGUACGCGUGGCGCCGCCCCUUGUACAACGACAAGCGAAGGAAAGCGAUCAUACGUGGCGGCACGCUGGCGGCAGGUUCAAAAGGGCCGUCUGUAGCGUACGAGUAGCUGUGAGCGGCGCGCGGCGCGCCGGUGCGGCCAACGGAGUUGGCUGGGUCUGGCUACUAUUUCCUCGAGGUACCUGAACUACAUUUCAGUCACUCAGUAAAGUGAUAACUCAAAAUAUCAUUGUCAACAGAUCUGAAGAAAUUGCCACUGCGUCUUUAGACCGUUUUCGUCAGACGAGAGACACAGUUCUGACUCUGAUUACUGGUUGCUGUACGUAUCUAUCCACAUUAAGGCUGUUUUUGAGAGAGACUCGUGAAGAUUCAAGACAGCUCUUAGAGGAUUUGCAGUUUAAAAGUAAAAUAAUUGUGAAAUAAGUGUGUGAAUGAUUAAACUGUGUUUUAUUGAAGUUGUGCGAUUUUAAAGGAAUA